rfam:Anopheles maculatus strain maculatus3 cont1.12544, whole genome shotgun sequence.
UACAAAGGCUGCUCUGCUAAUGGGGUAGGAUCCGAGACCCUGCAAAGGGUUACAUAGGCUCUCCUACUCAACUCCUAUUCCGUCACGUCCCCGUCGUGCAGA